rnacentral:rRNA from 1 species
GCACAAGCAGCGGAGCAUGUGGUUUAAUUCGAAGCAACGCGAAGAACCUUACCAGGGCUUGACAUGCCGCUGACCGGUGCAGAGAUGCAUCUUUAUCCUUCGGGGUACAGCGGACACAGGUGGUGCAUGGUUGUCGUCAGCCCGUGUUGUGAAAUGUUGGGUUAAGUCCCGCAACGAGCGCAACCCUUAUCCUUUGUUGCCAGCGGUCCGGCCGGGAAACUCAAAGGAGACUGCCAGUGAUAAACUGGAGGAAGGUGGGGAUGACGUCAAGUCAUCAUGGCCCUUACGACCAGGGCUACACACGUGCUACAAUGGUUGGUACAACGAGUUGCGAGUCGGUGACGGCGAGCUAAUCUCUUAAAGCCAAUCUCAGUUCGGAUUGUAGGCUGCAACUCGCCUACAUGAAGUCGGAACCGCUAGUAAUCGCGGAUCAGCACGCCGCGGUGAAUACGUUCCCGGGCCUU